AACGAACGCUGGCGGCGUGUUUAAGACAUGCAAGUCGCACGGGAUAAGACAUGUAGUAAUACUUGUUUUAUUUAGUGGCGCACGGGUGAGUAACACGUGAAUUACAUGCCCUAUAGUGGGGAAUAGCCCAGGGAAACUUGGAUUAAUACCCCAUGGUAUCGAAAGAUUAAAGGUGGCCGCAAGGCUGUCGCCAUAGGAUUGGUUCGCGCCCUAUCAGCUUGUUGGUGAGGUAACGGCUCACCAAGGCAAUGACGGGUACCUGGUCUGAGAGGACGAUCAGGCACACUGGAACUGAGACACGGUCCAGACACCUACGGGUGGCAGCAGUCGAGAAUAAUUCACAAUGGGGGCAACCCUGAUGGUGCAACGCCGCGUGGAGGAUGACGGUCUUCGGGUUGUAAACUCCUGUCAUCUGGGAGAAAGACCUGACGGUAAAUAGCCGGCAGGGUUGAUAGUACCAGAAGAGGAAGGGACGGCUAACUUCGUGCCAGCCGCCGCAGUAA
rnacentral:rRNA from 1 species